UACGGAGGGUGCAAGCGUUAUCCGGAUUCACUGGGUUUAAAGGGUGCGUAGGUGGGCAGGUAAGUCAGUGGUGAAAUCUCCGGGCUUAACCCGGAAACUGCCAUUGAUACUAUCUGUCUUGAAUACCGUGGAGGUGAGCGGAAUAUGUCAUGUAGCGGUGAAAUGCUUAGAUAUGACAUAGAAUACCGAUAGCGAAGGCAGCUUACUACAUGUUAAUUGACGCUGAGGCACGAAAGCGUGGGGAGCAAACAGG
rnacentral:rRNA from 1 species